GGACUCCUUUACUGGAGGAUGCUCUGAAGCUUCUACAUAUGUUACCAAGGGCCCCACCUCAAUUUCUUCCUUUUGGGCAGCAUGUAACUCCCCCACAGUAGCAAGUCGGGCAUCCUGGUUGGCACACUCUUCUUCAGCCUCUUCAAAGUUACUUAUUUCAGGACUCCCUACUGCACUUGAGACAUGUCAAACAACCCAACCCCUCAAGCCAAAUGGACCUAAACUCCCAAACAAAACAGU